GUUAAACUGUAUUUGUCUGUGCGCUGUGCUGCAAAUCGUUUUGCAAAUAAAACAAGAUCGCGAAAGAAUGAUCUCUGUGCUCGAAUUCGUGGAUGAUAAGACCAACGAUGCGGUUCAUUAUCAGCAAAUAAUAUUUGUUGUUUAGGCUAUGAAAGAAAUGAAUUAAGCAGUGGAACCAAGGUCAUGUUCUGAAACGUUAGAAGAAGUGAUACUAGAACGAGCUGUCGGCUCGUUAAUGGCUAGCGUAAAAUCGUUGAACAAACGACGAGAAAGAAUACGUGAACGUAUUUGGAGGAUAAUAUUACCCUAGGCCAUGGUUACUUUUCAAUUUGAUUAGCGACUCUUUUUCAAUCUUCCAACUCGAUGCUCGAGGAAUCACAAAAAGUUCAGGAACAUCAUUGGUCAACGUCAAUAUCCCCCAACCAGACAGAUUCACCAUAUUCUUCUCUCUAUGUUUGACAAAUUUAAAUAUAUCUCCAAUCUCAUAUGACGUGGAACGAUCUUUCUCGACAGACGAAUUAUCUAGCUUUAAC
rnacentral:misc_RNA from 1 species